UCUCCAAAACAAAUAUUAUUGCACUUUAUUCCGUUGUUGUUACUGCUUCCAUUUCCAUAUUCCCUUUUUCAAACUGCUUUGAGAUGUAUUACUAGCCGAGGGUCUAUGGGAAACAACUUCUCUAUCUUUACGAGACCUCCGGCUAGAUGAUCCUUUUUCCUGUUAAAUAUAACCCAAUCAGUUAAAUAUUUUUGGACGAAAACCAAAAGUGCUCACUUUUGACAAAUAUAAAGGACCAAAACUGCUCGGACGUAUAUUUGGACCUACCCCAAACACAGUGGUGGAGCCAAAGUUUUCACUAAGGGGAUCAAAAUAUGAAAAGUAAACACACGAAGACGUCAAAGGGGGUUCAAUAUCUACAAUAUACACAUAAAAAUAAUCUUAAUCAUAUAUAAACAGGGUAAUUUUCCGUCAAAAGGGUUCAGAUGAACCUCCUAGGCCCUACCUGGUUCCCACCCUGCCCAAACACAUGGAAUAAAUAUCUAUCCAUCAAACAUUUUGUCAUUUCAAUUGCAUUACUACCUGAAUUUCUGUGGAUCAAAUUCUCAGACAUGGCUAACUACGUCUGGUGGUGGAGCUGGUGGUUCACAGUGGCGUUUAACUGUUGUUUAUCGAUGCAGAAGCCAGUUGUUUCCAAUCCACAAACCAACCUGUUAGGCGAAGGCUGUAGUAAAUAUAAUGCAACAAAUUUACCUGAUUUCUUCAAAAGGCUUAAUGAAAGUUUUGGUGAUUUAAGGAACCAGUUGUCUAAAUAUGAUAAGCGAUUCGCCACCACACAACAGUCUGUGUAUGCUAUGGUCAUGUGCAGAAAGUAUAUGUCAAAAGCUGAUUGUGUCUCCUGUUUCGAUACUGCAGUUUCUCACAUAACAACUUGCGCUGGUGCUAAUGGUGCUCGUGUUGCCUAUGAUGGUUGCUUCCUCAGGUUAGUUUCUUAGAUAUCUCUAGCACUUAGUUCACAUCAAAUUUUCUUCAAAAUUUAAAGGACGAACUGAACCUUUAAGUACUACUCCCUCCGUUUUGUUUGUUUGGUUUUGACUUGGCACGGAGUUUAAGAAAGUAAAAAAGACUUCUGAAUCUUGUGGUCUUAAACUAAAGAUAUGUAAAAUGUACCAACAUGUCCUUUAAUCUUGUGGUAUUAAACAUGUCAUGUGAAAAGUUAGAAUCAAAGAGUUGUCAAAAAAAGGAAAGAGACAUUCUUUUUCAAACGAACUAAAAAGGAAAAUAAGACAAACAAAUUGAAACAAAAAGAGUAAAUAAUAUGCAGCAGCCUCGAGCUUAAUCAUGAUAAUCAUAAGUGUUGUUGCUUGGUAACAGUCAAGAAUCAUAACAGCAAUAUUUAAGUCAUUAUUGGCCUGAAUACAAGUAAGAACUAAGCUAUUAGUUUAUCGUUAUUUCAAUUAAACGAUCUCGUUUGGUAUGAAAUCCUCUUUAUUCAUCUGUGAUUAUCUUUGAUUCACAGGAAAAAAGUCACUGAAACUCAACACUGUGACAAGUAGAACUAUUCCAUACCUUUUUGUGUGCAAUAUGUAUACCACUUUCUGAAGCAGCCUAUUUUCUAAUUUUUAAAGGUUGAAACCCAUAAUGGUAGCAGUGAACAAUAAGUUUUCAGUAGUAAAUUAAAAGAAGAUUUGAUUUGAUGUAGUUACUGUACAGCAUGCUUUGUUAUGUUUCCACAUACGUUACUUCUUUUUCUAGAUUGCUUUGAUUCGUUUUUCCUUGAGCCGAGGGUCUAUCGGAAACAACCUCUCUACGUCUGAGGUAGGGGUAAGGUCUGCGUGCACUCUACCCUUCCAAAUCUCACUUUGUGGGACUACACUGGGUAUGUUAUUGAAUUAAGAAGAUUCAUGAGCAUGAAAAUGGUUGCUUAAUACUCUAAAUGAUGCAUUUUUUUUAAGGUAUGAGAGCAACAAUUUCUACCAUGAAGCUUCAAGUCCAGCAAAUGCUGAGUUCUGUGGGAAUCGAACAGCUCAUCGGCCGCAUGCUUUGAACCUUGUGGCACUAGAGCUUUUGAAUGAUCUUAGCAUGGCAACUCCAAGAAUUCGUGGCUUCUCUGCAGCCACGAAGAGGAAAGAAGCUGGUGUUACUGUCUAUGGAGUAGCACAAUGUGCUGAAACCAUCACUGCAAGCGGCUGCCAAGAUUGCUUGACAGUGGCAUAUACAAACAUAAAAGGCUGUUUGCCUAAACAUGCGGAAGGAAGGGCUUUCGAUGGAGCCUGUUUUAUGAGGUACUCGAAUAGAGCCUUUUUUCCUGAUAACCAGAUAACUGAUAUCAGACCAUUGCUUGGUGGAGGAGGUAGGACAUGAAGCUCUUUUUUUCCAAACCUUACUAUUAUUAAUUCAUUGGCAUAGCACAUCUAGACACCUCUACUCGUUUUCACCAUGUCAAUUGAACACUCCAACUUACAAAAUUAUCAUCCAGACAUCUCCAAAAUUUAUGUUCCACGCCAGCAUCGGGUGUCCAGAGACACACUGGGGACGACUGACGAGUUGCAGUGUUUAGUUGUUAGUUGAGAUCAAGUUGAUGUGUCUAGAUGUGCACUCUCAAAGUUGGUCUGCUUAGUUGCCAGGUGUGGCCAUGUUUGAGUGUCUGUUUAUGUAUUAUCCCUCAUUCAUUUUAAGAUGAAGUUAAAAUUGGUGGCGGUGCUUUAUGCAGGAAGUUCAAACAAGAAGAAAGUCAUCAUCGGGGGUGUGGUUGGAGGUGUAGGACUUCUUAUGAUUGUAUUGGCUGUGUUCCUAUUGUAUCGCCUAUCAAGAAAACCACAGGCAGCAGAAAGAGGUAAAACUUGGAAGAUCGCCUUAUCAAUUUGAUAUGAUCCAACAUACAAAACAAGAUAAAGAUAGAAUUGAAAGCAAUAAACAAAGCUACACACAAACAAAUUCAAAGAAGUAGACGAUAACUAUACUGAAAAAAACAAUAGAAUCACCUUCUGCAAGUGAGAACAAGCAUUGUAUAAGUCCUUGAGUUCCUUUGCUUGGCCCCUUGUGAUUGGCCUUG
rnacentral:lncRNA from 1 species